rnacentral:rRNA from 1 species
UACGUAGGGUGCAAGCGUUGUCCGGAAUUAUUGGGCGUAAAGAGCUCGUAGGCGGCUCGUCGCGUCAGCUGUGAAAACCCGCGGCUUAACCGUGGGCUUGCAGUUGAUACGGGCGGGCUAGAGUUCGGUAGGGGAGACUGGAAUUCCUGGUGUAGCGGUGAAAUGCGCAGAUAUCAGGAGGAACACCGGUGGCGAAGGCGGGUCUCUGGGCCGAUACUGACGCUGAGGAGCGAAAGCGUGGGGAGCGAACAGG